rnacentral:misc_RNA from 1 species
UCUCCGUUGGUGAACCAGCGGAGGGAUCAUUACCGAGUUUACAACUCACCAACCCCUGUGAACAUACCUUUUUGUUGCCUCGGCGGGAACAGCCCCAGAGCUCCGUGCGCUGGAAUCAGGCCCCGCCGCAGGACCUCAAACUCUGUAUUCACGAAUUUAUUCUGAUUACCUUAGCUUCUCCGGAAGCGAAAAUAAGUAACAACUUUCAACAAUGGAUCUCUUGGCUCUGGCAUCGAUGAAGAACGCAGC